CCUACGGGUGGCAGCAGUGGGGGAUAUUGCACAAUGGGGGAAACCCUGAUGCAGCGACGCCGCGUGGGUGAAGAAGCGCCUCGGCGCGUAAAGCCCUGUCAGCAGGGAAGAAAAUGACGGUAACUGAAGAAGAAGACACGGCUAACUACGUGCCAGCAGCCGCGGUAAUACGUAGGGUGCAAGCGUUAUCCGGAUGUACUGGGGGUAAAGGGGGCGGAGACGGCGAUGCAAGCAAGGAGUGAAAGCCCGGGGCCAAACCCCGGGACUGCUCUUGGAACUGCGUGGCUAGAGUGCAGGAGGGGCAGGCGGAAUUGCAGGUGGAGCGGUGAAAUGCGUAGAUAUCAGGAGGAACACCGGUGGCGAAGGCGGCCUGCUGGACUUCAACUGACGUUGAGGCCCGAAAGCGUGGGGAGCAAACAGGAUUAGAUACCCUAGUAGUC
rnacentral:rRNA from 1 species